rnacentral:rRNA from 1 species
UACGUAGGGGGCAAGCGUUGUCCGGAUUUAUUGGGCGUAAAGAGCGUGUAGGCGGCUUUACAGGUCCGUUGUGAAAACUCGAGGCUCAACCUCGAGACGCCGGUGGAAACCGUAAAGCUAGAGUCCGGAAGAGGAGAGUGGAAUUCCUGGUGUAGCGGUGAAAUGCGCAGAUAUCAGGAGGAACACCCGUGGCGAAAGCGGCUCUCUGGGACGGUACUGACGUUGAGACGCGAAAGCGUGGGGAGCAAACAGG